CAACAGAGACAGCUGUUUGUCCCCCAGUAUCCUUCAGACAAAGCCAUAUAUGAUUGAAGGUUAUCAGUACUGUGCUUUUGGAGGAUUCAGAAGAAGUUAUAUCUGAUUGGGAGAUUGAAAAGGAUUGGCCUGAAGGAGAGGUGGUUUUUGAACUGCAUCUUAAAGGAUGAGGAAACUGAGGCUGAGAGGGUAGAGAACUUUGCCUGAGGUCACUCAGCAGGGACCCACCCAUCACAGUAAAUGCCAGCACUGCUGAUGCCAAAACAAUGUUAUUUGUAGGCCCUCGGAAUUUGUGACCUGAAGGAAGAAGAGCAGGGCCGUGGGAAGUAUGUAACCAGUGUCAUGCCCCUGGUCCCAAGGAAGCAGUGGCUUGGUAAAGAGGGGACCCCCGUCAAUAACUCCCUGUAAUUACUGGGCACCCACUCUGAGCUCCUCAGUGGAAUCCUAAGGUUAAUAAGACUGUCUCUAGCCACUGGGGCUCCCAGCCUGGAGUGAGGUAAGAGGAGUGGAGCCGGCUGGGGAGGGAGACGAACACAUACACAGAAGAUUCAGACACACUUGCAAUGUAUUGCUGGGGAUUCUCCAGCAUUGGCAUGAUGGAGAGGGUGGAGAAUCAUUUGACCGCCUCCGCCUAGGAUUGCAGAGUUCAGCUGGCCAUCAUCCACCAGCCGGGGGACUGUGCACAUCAGUUAACCUCUCCUCUCAGGCCUUGAAAAGCACCAGGCUUAGUACACGUUUGUUAAAUGAAUGCACUGCAGUUUUUUUGCUUGUUAAAGGCAGGUAAUAAUAAUGAUAUUGCUGACUAAGGGCUCCCAUCCACUCCCAGUGAGCCCGGUGCCCCCCCGGGCCUCCUCAGUGAGCUGAGGAGGCUCAGCAGUGCCUGCACGUCCCCUCGCCACAAUGUCAUGUGCCACCUCUUCAAAGGAGGGAUGUACCAGCUAGUGGACGUGACCUUGACUGCAAAGGGCGGCACGCAGCUGAUGUAAUGGUCGCUUAAGUGUUCACAAAUGCCUGAACACCCUGUCCUACCUGGUCCUACCUGGAUGCUGGCCUCAGUAAGCUCCUGGGCUCAUUGAAGAUGAACCUAGCAGUAGUAUUUACACCACUUGUUGUGUGCCCACUGUGGGCCCGGCGCCAUGCCGAGUGCUCUAUGGAUGUGAGUUUUCCAUCCUUCCUUCAGUGCUGGGAGAGAAAAGCAUACGACAUAGACAGGGAGGUCAAGCUCCACCACGCAGAUGAGGUGCAGGCCACCAGUCUUCCUCUGCCACAUCUCUUUCUGAAAAGGCAGCCUGUGCUGAGAAACCAUGACUGAGUAAGCCAAGCUUUGUUGGCCGCACCUGCCAAGCCACAGGGUGCCUCAGGCUUGGAGCAUCCCGGAGCCAGUUACAACCCAAGACUUCAGCCUUCUGGAAGGUGUUGGGUCAGCCACCCUGAAGGACGAUCCUGCCCAAGUGACAUGCUUUGCUCUUCCUUCUCACCCAGGACUUCACAUUCACCCUUGCAAUCCAUGUGGGGACACUGUUGGAUAGGAGGCGUGGUCCCAGCGUGGUCUCCCUGUCUGGGCCUCUGCCUAUGCCAAAUGUUUGCCUUACGCUGCACACUCAAGAGGUUCCAUGUAUACAGAUGGGAAUUCCAGAGCUACAGAAAAGGCAGCAAGCACCAUGAUUUAAGCUAACCAGUGUGGAUUCACACCUUCCUCUCUCUCUAUCAGUGGCAGAACUACCAGCUAGAGUAAGAAGUGGUUGAUCCAGGACCUAAACAUUCUGGAAACUCUUGCCCACUUCUGGGAGAAAUGACCCAAUCCAUAGUACUAAGCACACCUUAACUUUCGUAGGACGCAGGCAAGUUGUCAUACCGUGUGCCUAAAUAUAGAAAAAUGAUCCACUGGACUAAUAAAGUGUUAAAUAAAAUAUGUCCUGACUGUCUACUUUGACAACAUACUUUCAUAAUGACAAAACUUAAAAAUGUAUAAAGCUAUGGUUUUUAUAUAGUUGAAAAUUGACAAAACAGAAGACUAAAUUUACUUAUUAUUGCACAUGAUGGGCGGGCUAUGUUUGGUUGAG
rnacentral:lncRNA from 1 species